ensembl:lncRNA
UGUGACAUUUGAACUCUGUGAUGAUGAGUCUUUCUUUACCCUUAUGAGUAUUCUGGUUCGUAGUUUUGUUUGGUACUCCAGUAGAUUAUUUAGCCUAUGACGUAAGAGUGCAGCCAUGUCAGUGUGCGGAAACACCUUUGGUUCCUUAAUGGGUUUUAGUUAAAGACAAGCUUAAAGAGACAGUGUCUUUUUUUGGUCUGAUAACGGGAUGACUGAGGAGAAAAUGUUGUGUUUCUCUGCUGUUCUGCUGCUGUGUUCUCAGACCUCCUCAUUGACAUUGCAAGAUUUCUUACAAUCAAACGGAAAAUAAUCUGCUCAGAUCCCUCCUCACCAUGGGCCAUUAAAUCAAUGAAGUACCUGGAUGCAAAGAACAAACCUCACUCUACAACUCCAAAAUGCGCUCCUCCAGUGGUUUAUAGCACACGGAAAAUAGACAUAGGAGGGCACGCAACACAAAAAACAGAAAGGGAUUGGAGUGGAUCUUCUAAAGUCACAGUUCAACAUAAAAGGACACACAAAACAAAAAACAGAAAACAAGAAAGAGUUUAUCAUCUCAAGAACCAAAUCACCAGAGCAGGAUUGGAGAGAAUCUACUGAAACCACAGAGAUGAUUCAGCAGGAUGGACUGACAUGGGAGGAAGGGAGAGAGACAGAGUCCAUAUUUACAGAAACAACUUCAUCAACCAUUAUGAAUGAGUCAUUUAUUAACAAUGGUUACUUUUGCUUAAAAGGGGAGAAGUUUCAAUACUUGGGGUAAUUUAAUUUUAUAUUAAUUUUAUAUUUAGCAGCCCUAUGAAUGAUUCAUGACCUAUUCAAAUUUUAUCUGUAUAUAUUUGUAUGUAACCAUUUUUGUAUGCAGUGCCUUUUUAAUUGCAUGACUUGUAAUAAAAAAAAGCUGUGUGGAGAAGACA